rnacentral:rRNA from 1 species
GAUGAACGCUGGCGGCGUGCCUAAUACAUGCAAGUCGAGCGAACAGAUGAUGAUCUUGCUGCUCUGACGUUAGCCGCGGACGUGGGAGUAACACGUGUAUAACCUACCUAUAAGACUGGUAUAACUUCGGGAAACCGGAGCUAAUACGGUAGAAGAUAUUGAACCGCAGGGUUCAAUGGUGAAAGACGGUGGUGCUGUCACUUAUAGAUGGAUCUGGGCCGCAUUAGCUAGUUGGUAAGGUAACGGCUUACGAAGGCAACGAUGCGUAGCCGACGUGAGAGGGGGAUAGCCCACCUUGGAACUGAGACAGCGUCAAGGGUACUACGGGAGGCCGCAGUCGCGAACCUGCCGCAACGGGCGAAAGUAUGACGGAGCAACGCGGAGCCAGAGGUGACGAUCUUGGGAUCGUAAAAAUCUGUUAUUAGGUAAGAACAAAUGUGUAAGUAACUAUGGACGUCUUGACGGUACCUGAUCAGAAAGCAACGGCUAACUACGUG